rnacentral:lncRNA from 1 species
UGCUUGUUGCUUGUGCAGUUGUGUUAACAAAAGAGAAGUCGUGAGAGACGGUCCGAUGGAAGUCAAAGAUUGGAAAUUUGGAAUCGAUGAGAGAUGAGACUUGAGAGGCAGAAGGGCGGGGCCGCGAGGGAUAGGAGGCGGAGACGGAGUCGGGGAGAGGGCGAGGGCGGAGGCGGAGGCGGAGGCGGAGGCUUUUGUUAGGGCAGAGAGCCAGAGACUGAAUAGAAAUGGGAUAAAUCAACUUUUGGUACCUGUAUUGGAACUCGACUUAUAAUUUGGUACCUAAAGUGAAAAAAAGUUAUAAACUGGUGGUGAUUGUAUUCGAAAAAUGUUACAUUCCGUUAAAUAAUAGGAUUUCAUCUUUAUUCUGUUUAAAAAUUUGACAGGUCAGAUGCAAAGGAUGACACGGCGAUGAUGGGUAACAAAGUUGUAUAGGAGGGUUUGGAGAAUGAGUAGCUGAUGAUGAGAGAGAGUAGGGUAAUGGUUUUUCUUGUGCCGGUGGGCAUUUCGAGGAGAGAGUGGCCUUUGGCAUCUAGGGCACGCUUCAGUUCCACCAUGUAUGAAUAUUGUUCUGGGUGUGAUCGUAUGGGAAGUACCCAGUAACAUCUUCGAUUUGAAACUUCAUCUCUCCCUCUGCAAUAUUUUCUCUAAUCUAUAUCUAUAUCUAUAUGUUUCUGUAAAGAAAGAUUAAAGUUCAAUUUUCAGCAGGAUGAGGAAGACGAUGGACGAACAGUCUAGGACGGUGAUCAGUUACGGUGGCUUCGUUUCUUUUUAUAUUGGAAUUGGAAUCUAAAUAUUAUGCGUAAUUGGGUAAAGGAAAAAUAUAGGCAGCAGCGAGAGCGAGAGCCUUUGAUUCGAAUUUAUGGGCAUCAAGGUUCGAAUUUAUGGGCGAAUAUAUGGAGCAUUUGAUUCCAGUGGUUUGUUUUAAUAGAUGGCUUGUUUAUGUGUAUUUCAAUUUGUCAAUUAUGCUUUACUGUUAAUUUUUAAUUUUCAGAUUUGGAUGUUUUUGAUCUAUUAUUAAUUCCUACGUUCAUGUCUUUGUUCAUGGGUGUUUUUGAUCUGUUUGUCUGAUUGGUAUGUGUUCCAUUUCAACUUGUUAGGGGCGUGAUGUUUAUUUUGGGUUGCAGCUGAUUUGGAGGUUCUAUCAUUCUUACUUUCUUUAUUGUUGUUGUAUGAUUGAUUUGGCUUUAG